rnacentral:rRNA from 1 species
GGAGGGUGCAAGCGUUACCCGGAAUCAUUGGGCGUAAAGCGUCCGCAGGCGGCUUAUUAAGUCAGAUGUUAAAUCUUGGGGCCCAACUCCAAGGCUGUAUCUGAAACUGGUAAGCUAGAGUCUUUCAGGGGCAUGUGGAAUUCUGUGUGUAGGGGUAAAAUCCGUAGAUACACAGAGGAACACCAAAAGCGAAGGCAGCAUGCUGGGAAAGUACUGACGCUCAUGGACGAAAGCGUGGUUAGCGAACGGGGGAUUAGAUACCCCGGUAGUCCACGCCGUAAACUAUGGAUACUAGUUGUUGGAGGGCUCGACCCCCUUCAGUGACGACGCUAACGCAUUAAGUAUCCCGCCUGGGGGAGUACGGUCGCAAGAUUA